rnacentral:tmRNA from 1 species
GGGCUUGUACUGGUUUCGACGGGGGUUUUGAAGUCUGAAGAGCCAUCCGCGGAUUUUCGGUACCGCGUUACCAAACCGGAGAUUAAAAUUAAACGCUGACAAUAACGAAUUAGCGCUCGCUGCCUGACGAUUCAGGCAGUUGUCUUGCACGCAAGGCCCGCUGUGCGCGUAAGGCAUCAUGUAUUGCGGGGAACUUUUUCUCCUAAGCUUUGCGGAGCAAAAAGAUAAUAUGAAGCUACCUGAACCUUAAGCCUGUCCUUCGGCGUAAGGGAACGGGAAUUCCAAAAGAAGGACUGUGAUGGGAGAGCCUCGGAUGAAUAGGCUUUCGGACGGGGGUUCGAUUCCCCCCAGGUCCAC